GCCUGAUGCAGCAACGCCGCGUGAGGGACGACGGCCUUCGGGUUGUAAACCUCUUUUAGCAAGGAAGAAGCGAAAGUGACGGUACUUGCAGAAAAAGCACCGGCUAACUACGUGCCAGCAGCCGCGGUAAUACGUAGGGUGCAAGCGUUAUCCGGAAUUAUUGGGCGUAAAGAGCUCGUAGGCGGUUUGUCGCGUCUGCUGUGAAAUCUGGGGGCUCAACCCCCAGCCUGCAGUGGGUACGGGCAGACUAGAGUGCGGUAGGGGAGAUUGGAAUUCCUGGUGUAGCGGUGGAAUGCGCAGAUAUCAGGAGGAACACCGAUGGCGAAGGCAGAUCUCUGGGCCGUAACUGACGCUGAGGAGCGAAAGGGUGGGGAGCAAACAGGCUUAGAUACCCUGGUAGUCCACCCCGUAAACGUUGGGAACUAGUUGUGGGGUCCAUUCCACGGAUUCCGUGACGCAGCUAACGCAUUAAGUUCCCCGCCUGGGGAGUACGGCCGCAAGGCUAAAACUCAAAGGAAUUGACGGGGACCCGCACAAGCGGCGGAGCAUGCGGAUUAAUUCGAUGCAACGCGAAGAACCUUACCAAGACUUGACAUAUACGAGAACGGGCUAGAAAUAGUCAACUCUUUGGACACUCG
rnacentral:rRNA from 2 species